rnacentral:rRNA from 1 species
GAGUUUGAUCGUGGCUCAGAUUGAACGCUGGCGGCAUGCCUUACACAUGCAAGUCGAACGGCAGCACGGGAGCUUGCUCCUGGUGGCGAGUGGCGAACGGGUGAGUAAUGCAUCGGAACGUAUCCUGGAGUGGGGGAUAACGUAGCGAAAGUUACGCUAAUACCGCAUAUUCUGUGAGCAGGAAAGCGGGGGACCUUCGGGCCUCGCGCUCUUGGAGCGGCCGAUGUCGGAUUAGCUAGUUGGUGAGGUAAAGGCUCACCAAGGCGACGAUCCGUAGCAGGUCUGAGAGGAUGAUCUGCCACACUGGAACUGAGACACGGUCCAGACUCCUACGGGAGGCAGCAGUGGGGAAUAUUGGACAAUGGGCGAAAGCCUGAUCCAGCCAUGCCGCGUGUGUGAAGAAGGUCUUCGGAUUGUAAAGCACUUUAAGUUGGGAGGAAGGGCAGUAAGUUAAUACCUUGCUGUUUGACGUUACGACAGAAUAAGCACCGGCUAAC